rnacentral:rRNA from 1 species
AUUGAACGCUGGCGGCAUGCCUUACACAUGCAAGUCGAACGGUGACGGGCCUUCGGGUGCCGACGAGUGGCGAACGGGUGAGUAAUACAUCGGAACGUGCCCGAUCGUGGGGGAUGACGAGGCGAAAGCUUUGCUAAUACCGCAUACGAUCUACGGAUGAAAGCAGGGGACCGCAAGGCCUUGCGCGGACGGAGCGGCCGAUGGCAGAUUAGGUAGUUGGUGGGAUAAAAGCUUACCAAGCCGACGAUCUGUAGCUGGUCUGAGAGGAUGAUCAGCCACACUGGGACUGAGACACGGCCCAGACUCCUACGGGAGGCAGCAGUGGGGAAUUUUGGACAAUGGGCGCAAGCCUGAUCCAGCCAUGCCGCGUGCAGGAUGAAGGCCUUCGGGUUGUAAACUGCUUUUGUACGGAACGAAAAGCCUUCUUUUAAUACAGGAGGGUCAUGACGGUACCGUAAGAAUAAGCACCGGCUAACUACGUG